GAAGUUAUUAUUUGAAGUGUGUUUAUGAUGAGAAGUAUAAGCAGUGUUAAAGUGAUGAAAAAAUAAAAGUGGAAAGUGUUGGUGCUUAAGCAAGUACUAAUGUGAAAGAUGAGUGUUGGAAAAGUGGGAAAAGGGUUUAACAGGUAAGAAACACGUGGAGUUUGAAAGUGACCAUAACACGCGCGAAGGAGACAGCAAGAGCUAUGUCCGGGUGGGACCACUCAAGUCAACACUCAUUGUUACGGUGUUCCCCCCCUUCCCGGCGGCUAAGGUUGGUGCUAAGUCCUCUAUUCUAUUCCCAACACUCUUCUACUUUAUCAAAAAAUUCACCAUAAUCUUAUUUUCAGGAACUCUUUCCUUUCAAAUCAUAUUUAUUCAUGAAUCUUUCCUAAU
rnacentral:lncRNA from 1 species